UACGGAGGGUGCAAGCGUUGUUCGGAUUCACUGGGUAUAAAGGGUGCGCAGGCGGCCUGGUAAGUCAGAGGUGAAAUAUGACGGCUCAACCGUCAAACUGCCUCUGAAACUGCCUGGCUUGAGUCCGGGAGAGGAAGGUGGAAUUCCAGGUGUAGCGGUGAAAUGCGUAAAUAUCUGGAGGAACACCGGUGGCGAAGGCGGCCUUCUGGCCCGGAACUGACGCUCAUGCACGAAAGCCAGGGGAGCGAACGGG
rnacentral:rRNA from 1 species